rnacentral:rRNA from 1 species
AGGUAACACUGAAUGGAGGACCGAACCGACUUACGUUGAAAAGUGAGCGGAUGAACUGAGGGUAGCGGAGAAAUUCCAAUCGAACUUGGAGAUAGCUGGUUCUCUCCGAAAUAGCUUUAGGGCUAGCCUCAAGUGAUGAUUAUUGGAGGUAGAGCACUGUUUGGACGAGGGGCCCCUCUCGGGUUACCGAAUUCAGACAAACUCCGAAUGCCAAUUAAUUUAACUUGGGAGUCAGAACAUGGGUGAUAAGGUCCGUGUUCGAAAGGGAAACAGCCCAGACCACCAGCUAAGGUCCCAAAAUAUAUGUUAAGUGGAAAAGGAUGUGGCGUUGCCCAGACAACUAGGAUGUUGGCUUAGAAGCAGCCAUCAUUUAAAGAGUGCGUAAUAGCUCACUAGUCGAGUGACACUGCGCCGAAAAUGUACCGGGGCUAAACAUAUUACCGAAGCUGUGGAUUGUCCUUUGGACAAUGGUAGGAGAGCGUUCUAAGGGCGUCGAAGCAUGAUCGCAAGGACAUGUGGAGCGCUUAGAAGUGAGAAUGCCGGUGUGAGUAG